UUAACACUACGCCACUUUUGCGAGCUCGUGUAACCCCAACAUGUGACACUCAUUAGUAGAAUAUGCACCACCUGCUGUGCUUUUAUUUUGGAGGGCACUUCCUCUAUAAACAACCAGGUCACCAGACCACUUCCGGCUUCCUCAUCCUGCUGCUGGCACUGCUGCACUUGCUGUGGUCGGACGUGUUCUGGUCGAACCUACGGAACUGCACAUCUCUGCUGUGUCAGGACAAAACCAUUCAUACAUUCAUUCCCACCUGCUCUUCGGUGAGUUUUUUUUACCGUGGCUAACGGCAAUAACAGUACAGCAAUGGCUUAAUGCUAAUGCUAAGCUAGCGCGAUUUUGGAAAGUACUGCUGAGAAUUGAAAAGUGUUCUGACAAAUCAGUCUGUUUUUAUUUUAAUUCCUCUUGGUUUUUUCCAGCCUAGACGUUUGUGUUUAUGUUUAGUUUUGAUCUUUUUGGGGAUUUACUUAUUUUGAACAUCUGUUUUUUAAAGCCAAAUCAGCCAUUAUUGUUUUGAAUCUGUAUUUCCCCUUUACUUUAAGUGUAACCUUUUGUGAUUUUGGAAAAGAGUUUCUGAGAUAAUCAGACCAAAGAAACCACGGUUAACCAUUUGAUUUUGAUCACCUUUGAUUGUUUUUGGCUGUUGCUAAAAUAUGAAUAUCUGAAGUGCAAUAAUAUAAGCUAACUUGAGGUUGAAUGUAAAAACUGACUGCCAAGCUUAUUCUGUUAUUUCUACCUCAUGUUUUUUUGUGUGACCAAUUCAGGUCAGGUUUUUUCCUCUGGAUGGAAAAAAAUGAACUAUUUCUUCUGAUGGCGAGCUACCAGUCUGGGACCUUUCAAGAAGGACACCUGAAUUAAAGCCUUGAAAGG